GACAGAGGGUGCGAGCGUUAAUCGGAAUUACUGGGCGUAAAGCGCACGUAGGUGGCGACGUAAGUCGGGUGUGAAAGCGCCGGGCUCAACCUGGGAAUUGCAUUCGAGACUGCAUUGCUGGAGUACGGAAGAGUAGGGCGGAAUUCCCGGUGUAGCGGUGAAAUGCGUAGAUAUCGGGAGGAACAUCAGUGGCGAAGGCAGCCCUCUGGUCCAGUACUGACACUCAAGUGCGAAAGCGUGGGGAGCAAACAGG
rnacentral:rRNA from 1 species